UAGAUCUGACAUCCAUUUUAGACAUUAUUCUGAUGCGUAACCAACAUUGAGAACCUCUUCCAUAAGUAUCUUCUAACUCCUAAAUGGAUUAGUGCCCAACUGGGCAUUUGUGUCCAUCAGAGUCUCCUAGCCACAUGGUUCAUCUCAAGAAAAUAAGUGCUAAACUUAGGAAGAACCUAGAGCAACUACCUAAGGACUGCUGGGACAAUGAGAUGCUAAUGUGUUAUUGGAUCAAAUAGUGAAAGCAUCUUGAUGCUGUAAAAGCUGUACAAAUAUUAUUUCAAAUAAUCGACUACUUAUUUCAGGGCCAAAGACUCCAGAGGCUACCCUUCCCUCUGAGCCUUAUACUUGUCCCCCAAAAUAGUAUACAGGAGAGAAAAUGUGGCAAGAAAUCUGUUUCUCUGGAAAGUCGAGAGAAAUGAGUGAUCCAAGAUGAGAAAAGGGACAGGCAGCGAAAGACAAGGAAGCAACUGGGUGAGUCCUGCUUGUCACAACAUAUAAACUCUGGUGUAAGUAGGCUAGAGGUAGUCCUGGCCUCCUAGCACUGGGAGUGCAUGCCCAGCCUGCAGGGUCUCAGCCACUUCCUCACAGCCUUUCAGUGGGAUGAACCAAUACAAUCCAGUGUGCCGUGAAAGAAAUGAUGCAAUCCUUCAAACAAACCAAUAUAUUCUAAAUAUAUUCUAAAUAUUCUUCCUACAGUUGGAUGUUGACCUGAGUCCUGGUUCUGUCAUUUAAAUAUUGAAUUUUCUUAAAAAAGCUAUUUAAAGUGUUUAUACCUAAGUGUCCUCAUGAAUGAAAUAGGGGCUCAUAAUAAUGCCUACAUCAUUAGGCUAUUGAGAAGAGCAAUUGAGUUAAUACCUGAAAAAUGCAUAAACGAACCAAAAGAUGCUUGGCCCAUAGUAAGUACUCAGUAAUUUCUCUCUACUAUUUUUAUUACCUAUUUUUGUCUGUUCUAGAAUGAUGAACCUGGCACAAUGCUUGGCACACAGAUGAUGCUCAGUAAAGAUCAUUGAAUUAAACAAUAUAGUUGAACUUUCCCCUGUGAAAUUACUUAACUGUUUCAUAAAAAUAUUACAUUACCUCUGCCAUAAGAAAUUUGUGUGGUUAAAAAGAAUUUGCAUAUAAUCCUAUCCUUGUUGGGAACUGCUAGAAAUGUUUUCUUUGUUAAACUCAAAGCUUAAACUGACUGUUACAUGUUUUCAGAAAAAUAGCAUAUCUGAUGGUCUCCAAGAUAUAUGAAUGUUUAGAUGGCCAGUAAAAGAGCUCUGAUACGGAAAGAUUUCACUCUGGACUGCUUUCCUCUAAAAGAAUUCUGAGCUACUUUCUGGAAAAAUUAUGACUAACAGAUUAAUUCAGCAGCAAAUUGACUGCAGAUAUCUGAAGAGAAGAAGCUCUGGCUUUUGAAAGGUUUUUAAAAAAAUAAACUUAAUGACAGUUCCAGGUGUCACAUGCUCGAUAAGGGCCACGCUUGGAAUGAGACUUCCUGUUGAAAAUGGUCUUGGGACUAGGACUGAAUCAUAACACUGGCUUCCCUGGUUCUCCAGCUUGCAACGCAUAGUUGUGGGACUUCUCAACCUUCAAAACCAAGACAAGCAAGGAAACAACUGAGUCACUGGAGGAUAUGCAGAUUUCUGGGAUGACAGGGAGAUGGGUCUAGAAAGCUGCUCCACAGGAAUCGGCUAACAAAGCCACUUCCGCAGCACCUGGAGACUUUGGGACCCUUGAGAGUUGUAGACCUUCCUUACGGGAGGAAGAACUGCGAGAAGCUGGAUUCAGAUCCAAUCCCUCCUGCAGGAAGAGUUCAAGAGUCUAGUCCAAGCUGCCCCGUUAUCCAGAAUGAAUGUAUUUGUUGAGCCAUAGCUCCUUACUCUGUUCUACAUUUUUUCAACACAGAACUUUUUUUUCCUUGUUAACAUGCUAUAUAAUUUGCUUACUUAUCAUGUCUAUUGUUUUUUUUUUUGUCUGCACUAGAAUGUAAAGUACACUAGAGCACAACUUUUGGUUUGUUCAGGGGUGUUUCCCAGUGUCUAGGUCCAGUCUGCAUUCUAGUAGGUAUUCAGUAAAUACUGAAUGAAUGAAUGAAUGAAUGAAGAGCAAGAUUUUCUCUUCCAAGUCUUGCUACCUUUCAUCAUUUUUAUUUUCCAUUUGUUUUCUUAUCUAGACCAUGAGCUGAGGUCAUCAGCUCUAGGAAGUAUUUUCAAGCUCUGUUCUCUAAGUCAGGGUUCAGCUUUUCCUAUCAAGCACCAGGGUCUUUUCUAAACUUAGGAAUAUUUUCUCCAAAUUCACUUGUUUCUCUUUUGAAUUCAUUUAAGGAAAAUGAAUGAGUCAAUUUAAAGAAAUAAAAUGGCAAGUGGUAGUAUAAAGAAAUGGGAACAAUUUGAAUGUGUAAUUAGGAUGAUCCACGUUUAUAAAACAAAAUGAUAGAAUUAGACAAGGACCAAAAAAGAAGAAUGUUUUCCAUGAGUCUAAAAAUACAGGACUGAUGAGGGCACAGGAGUUAGAACUGUGGUGAGGUGGAUGACAGCAGUCAGAAUUGCGUGUCUAAAUGAAAGAUUUUUUUAAAUCUUUGGAGAGAGAGGCAAAAGGUGACAAAGUUUCUACUGCUGCUACAGGUGUGGGUGCUACCAUGAGGAAGGGGUACACAUUCCUGAGGGAAGACUCCAGGCUUCCUGAGUCCAGUGUGUUGGGGAUAGACCACUAACAUGUGGAUGUGAGUCACAGAUAUGAUCUCAAAGUUGACCCCAAAUGUAAUGGAAAUAUCUGCAGGUGACAGCUGCCAGGAUAAUAACUGAAGGGUGUCAGAAAGGGACAUCAUUUAUCUUCCAUCCUUUCUUUCUUUUUUUUUUAGAUGAAAGAUUAUAAAACCAUUGUAGAGAAGCUGAGGAGAGAGCCCAAGUGUGUACUUUCUCCUUUGUCACGUCCCUUAGUUAGAGGGAGGAAGACGUUUCAGCUGGAGAAGUUAGUGUGGCCAUACCAACCAAAUUCCAUUGAUAGAAACUUCAGGAAAAAUCUAAGGUGAAGGAAAAGUCUUCCCACCUGCUCCUCAUGGCCAAAGCUUGGUUAAUUUUAGAGUGUAUAUCUGUCACGGAUGAAUCAGGUUGUUUUCUCUAGACCAGGAUUUGGCUCAAAGAUGUCAAUGAAUGCUUUUUGAAUAUGAUGUUGAUUUAGAGGUAUUUCAUUUGUGUGAGAGAAACAUGUCCUCACAGUAAUGGAGUUAAUACCCAUAAAUAUGUCCGCACAGUGUUCAAUCCCUUAGGAUGCCUUUGGCAACUUAGGCAAAAUUUGAAGUUGAAUGUCACCUUGUUUCCCAUUUUGAUAUUCUUAUUGAAUAUUAAUAUACUUGUUUUCAAAAUUCAAAAUCAAACUAAUUUUAUUCAUAUUUGACUUCCCUUUUUUAACAUCAUAGUGAUGUUUUAUAUGCAACUUACUAAAACAUUUUCUGCCUUUGUCUUGUCUAUUAAUUGGCAUGAUAUUUGAACUUAGGAAGCAUCAAGCUUAAGCCCCUCACCUAGAUAUAGAAAUAGAAUGACAAAGUAUGACAGCAGGAAUUGUAUAU